UUUUUUUUUUUUUUUAAGAAGUGGAGCAGCCAGGACUUGAACCUCAAAUAAAUAAAUCUUUAAGAAAAGGAAAUUAAUUUCUGUGCUACCAAACCAUUUCUGAAAACAAACCACUGAUGGAUGUUUGGCUUUAAAAUCUUACUUAUUUUGAAAUAGAACACAACCUGAAAAAAGUAGUGUAUGUAGCCCAAUGAAUUAUCACAGAGUGAACACCCAUAUAACCAGUACCCAGGCAAAGAAAUAGAACAUUGCCUACAACAUUUGAUUUUUCUUUUAUUUCUCAGAUUUCCUCUUCCACCAAAUCCCAAGAAAUUAGAGGUGUAAGUAAAGGUUGAUGAACUAAUAUAAGGAACAGAUGAAAAAAGCACUUUGUAUUUUUUGUGCUAGGUGCUUGUUAAUUACUCUCAGGUUUGUAAGUUUUUGGUAAUGUUAUGUUUGUGUUAUAUAUGUUUUGAUUCAGACUUAAAUCAGUUCCCGACAGUAACGUCUCCUAAUGCUCGUAGCAUAUAUCAGGAUUAUGCUCUAAGACAUAUCUUUUCUGAAAUCUCAUUCGCUGAAAAUAUUCUCACAAUAGUCUUGAAAAAUGCACCAGGACAGAUAUGCAGGCCUGGCAGUUAUGACUCUUGUAAACAAAUGAGUCUUGUCAUUACUGCCCCCGGAACUUAGUGAACCUGUCUCAGUCAGCAUGUGUCUUUAUCUGGCACAUGCCGAAAAGUACUUUAAGGUUAACAAAAAUAAAAGAAGUUCUUCUCUCUGUCCACCCUAGAAUAAUCUCCCCUCUGUUCUCUUGCAUUCUUAGCAUUUAAAAGCAAAGGUAAUGAAGUUUUCCUGAGGUUUCUCCUCCCCACCCUCCAUUAUUUCUGGAAUGGAAGAAACCCUAAACUAUUAGUGAGAGAAGUUCCAGCUGUAUCAAACAGCAGCAUGUCUGUGUGUUUUCUUUGGAAAGGGAUGCUUUAUGGUCAGGGGACUCGGGACAAACCCUGCACUUGAGCCAUAUGCAGGUGCGAGGAGAGAGCUGUCCACAGCCCGUGGCAGUGAUGACUAAUAACUGUGCCAGCAGCUGCACAUCUGUACUUUGCUGGCAGGCGUGGGUGCUCGGUGACUGUUAAGAGCUGCUCCCCUUCCUCGCCUCUCCUCACACUCCCCCAUCGUGGUGAUCUCCACCAUCAACUAAAUAGGUGACAAGACUCCAAUCACCCUGCUCUGAAUGGCUUUCCAUCUUCCCAAAAGUACACCAGAGGCUUGUUUUGUUACAGUACAUUGAUUAAAUAAAUAUUCCUGCGUGCACAAAGGAACUGAAAUCUGUUAUGGCACUCGGCAGUUAUCCGUCCGUUAGUAGCAGAGAAACUACUGCCUGUUCUCUCCCCUCUGCCCCCCACCCCCGCCCCUUCUCUCUACCACGCAGAUUCUCAAAGGUGCCAGUAACAGAUAAAUUAUCUGACCUCCGCUUUCAGGCGCGUGUGAAGCAGGAGGGUGGUGUCAUGCUCUUUGGUGCGGCGUGCCGUUGGGGCAGUGCCCAAGGUGUACGGAUAAUAGGAGAGCCCAAGUGAUUUAGAUGAGAAGAUUCUUUCUUGCUUUGGGGUUGUCGGACCUUUGUCUCUGCCCUUCAACUCUUAGCAGAAGUGGACUCAGGAAGGUCUUUCAAAUUAGCUUGCUUCUCUUUUAUAGGAAAAAGGGUGCUUCUGGCCUUGAAGUAGUUCUGUGUCUGCUGUCAGGCGUGGAAACCACAGAGCCCUCUAUGAGACAUAGUCUCCUUGUGUUUAUUUACAAGCUGCUUUCAAAUGUCAGUUGCUGAAGAGACCCUAACUGUUUGAGCAGAAUGAUAGGAAUUCCAGCCACGGUGUUGCUAGCAGGUUUCCUUUCUUUUUUUGGGCAAGGGUGGAGGACUGGUUAAAACAACACUUGGAUUAAAAAAAAAUGACCAGUUUAGCAAGUGUUAUUUAUAAUCCUUUGCAUGUCAGCUGUCAAGCACCUCAGUAUUAAGGAGUGAUUUAUACAUUAUGUGUGAAGUGACCGUUACUUUCCUUUUCAUACAAGGCAUUAGAGAAGGCUCCAGCACAGGGAGCUGGGGAGUAGGGGAAGAAAGAAUGACAGUGUAACAUAGGAAGUUAGGGUUGUACAGAAGGGCUGUGAACAUUAUUUUGGUGUGAAGGAAGUGGCAUGCAGAGAGAAGUGUGGCUGAAGGGAGGUGUUGAAAUGUUAGCAGCUCCUAACAUCUGCUAAGGAGAGGAGGAACCCCUACAGAAAUGAGAUGGGUGCUCCUGUGUAGCUAUGACAUUAAAAAAAAUGUAAGGAAUCUUGGAACCUGUGGAUGACAGAGACACAGGCACGGAAGGCUGUUGGAGUAGGUAAAGUGAAAUCUCGUAGUGUGUGUGUCUUCCGACUGACUGUGGGUAAUUAGUUGGAAAUGACAUUAACCUGAGUUUAAUUUCAAUUUUGCAUAGUAACAACAUACCAGCUGUUCACUGUAUUCUUUACUGGUGGUGCGAUUUAGUGUUUUUUUUUUUUUUUUUUCUAUCUUUGACGCUCUAAGUUUCUUUAUGUUUUCCUUUAAUUCCUCCUUGUUGCUGUGGUCACAGCCCCCAAAGUUUAACACUCAUUAAUGCCAUUUCUGUCACUUUGGUGCUGUCUCCAUUGCUGAGGGCUUUGGGGUGCUUUUGGGUUUGCUAAUCACUUGGCUUUUUAAAAGUCCAUGCUGGGCCGGCGCCACAGCUCAAUAGGCUAAUCCUCCACUUAGUGGCGCCGGCAUACCGGGUUCUAGUCCCGGUCGGGGCACCGGAUUCUGUCCUGGUUGCCCCUCUUCCAGGCCAGCUCUCUGCUGUGGCUUGGGAAGGCAGUGGAGGAUGGCCCAAGUGCUUGGGCCCUGCACCCCAUGGGAGACCAGGAUAAGCACCUGGCUCCUGCCUUAAGAUUAGUGCGGUGUGCUGGCCGCAGCGCGCCAGCCGUAGCGGCCAUUGGAGGGUGAACCAAUGGCAAAAGGAAGACCUUUCUCUCUGUCUCUCUCACUGUCCACUCUGCCUGCCAAAAACAAAAACAAAAAAAUCCAUGCUGGAAAGUUGCUGAGAUAAGCAUGGAUGACUAGAAACCUUGUUGUGUUUUAGGCUCCUCAAUAAGGUUUAACUUAUUAUAUAAAUAUUAUGGAUAAUUCCAGGCCUAUCAAAGGUUCUCCAAAUAUCAAGUGAACAAGCUGAAAGAGAAGUUAAUUACUGAACAGUGAUUGCUCUGAUAUAACCAAUUACUGGAUCAUUAAAUGUUUAUUACCUUUUAUAUGCUCUUUUCCCCCAUAAGGGCAGUUUCUUUUUUAAGUCAUUAAAACAGAAAUGGGAUCUUAAAAAAAAUUCUACUUAAAAAAUUUCCACAAGACUGAAGUAUUAAAAAGGUCUUGUGUGAUCUGACAGCUGAAUAGCCUGUUUUUCUUUGGUCUGUUGAAUUAGUAAUUAAUGAAAUGUAUUGCCUGAGCAGAGAAAAUAAGAUUAGUUUUGCUUAGGAAGAAAACAAAAGCAAAACAUUAACCCCUAAAUGCAGGUUAAUAUUAAAGUGCAAUGUAAUAAGUAUUAGAAAAAAUUCAAGUUUCCUUGAAACAUGAGAGAGAUGUUCAGUGAUAAUAGCCAUUUAAUUAAUUAAUGUAUCCCUUUUUUGAGCACCAACAUUGUGCUUGGAAGGAAUGGGGGAAUUAUAUAAGUGCAGAAUAGGGCAAGGGUCCUGUUUGCACAGAGAUUCUGGGUUAGCAGAGCAGUUCCUCCAGGUGCUUUAGUGAAAUGUUGAAAGUGGUGGUGUUGACUGUGGGGAUGGGUGGUUAUGAAAAGGGAGCUUACUUUCCGGAGGCCCAGAUAUCCUAUGGGAAACCUUGCUUUUGGGAUGGGCCAGAAGAACAGGUUCCUGGAGCCCCAUUACUUGGGUUCACACCCCAGUUUUGCCACUUGAUUAGCUGUGUGAGCUUUUAUCUCAAUUUCUUUCUUCCUUUUCUUUUUUUUUUUUUGAAUGUUUUAUCUGUAUAUCAAGUAAGUGAAAAUAGUGAUCUUUCAUCCUGUUGGUUCACUCUAUAAACGCCUGCAACAGCUAGCAGCUGGGCCAGCCUGAAGCCAGGAGCCUGGGUGGCAGGGACCCAAGUACUUGCGCCAUUAUCUGCUGCCUCACAGGAUGUAUUAGCAGGAAACUUGAUCAAAAGCAGAGUUCCUGGGACUCUGCUUAGCACCCUGAUAUGGGAUGUGCAUGUCCCAAGUGGCAGCUUAACCUGCUGCCAUGCAACACCCACCCCAUCUCAGUUUCUUUAUACAGUGAAAUGACAGUAAUGCAUCCAUUCUAGGGUUGUCAUGAGGGUUGUGUGAGUUACGACUGUAGAGUGCUUAUGACGGAAUAUAGUACAUAAAGAACAUAAUCAUGGUGGAGAUUGUUUUUGUUGGUAUAGCUGAAGUCUUAGGAGGGAUGAUGUUUGUAUUUCAUUGGAUGCUGAGAAGCAGAAAGAUGUUUCAGGCAUUUCUUGUACUGUCAUGUGUAACCACCUACUUAAUUUAUAAUUCCUACAGUAAUGUCUGCUUAUGUAACACCACUGUCAAAAGAUUACAAAGGGCAUUUACAAAUGCUUAUUCUCAGAAGCAAGAAGACUGUUUAUGCACAUUCUCCAGAGGUGUGAAAGGCUGUCUGGAGAGCUGGUCCUGGACAGUGACUACUCGUUAAUUGAAGUGUGCUUGGAGUGUGGGUUUGUGGAGGGUAAAUUAGACCAUGGAGAGAGGGUAUUUUUUAAUUUGAUUUUUAAUUCUUAGUUGAAGAACUGUAUCUGCAAACAGAUUGUGUGUGAGAAGGACAUUUUUAAAAUGUUUUGUGCAGUUUUUAGCAAUGGUGAACUUGUUUAUUUCUAAGAUACUGGGUCACUGACUGUUGACUUUAUAGUUUAUUAUUUAUUUUUAUUUAAAAGGCAGAGUGAUGAAGGGGAGAGGGGGGAGGAUAGAGAUAAAUUUCAUCUGCUGGUACACUUCCCCAAUGCUGGCGACAACCAAGAACUACAUGUGGGUCUCCCAGGUGAGAGGCAGGGAGCCAGGUGCCCCCCAGGAUGCACAUUAGCAGGAAGCUGGGUAGGAACCGGAGGCAGAACUCCAAUCCAGGCACUCCGACAUAGGACAUGGAGUGGCGGCUUCACCUGCUGUGCCACAGUGCCCAUCCUUGAGAGCUGAAUUUAGAGGAAGUUUAUAAUGAUGAUAAUAAACAGUUGCUGAACAUUUGCUAUAUCCCAGGCACUGUUUACUAUUGUAACUGUGAAGUUGCCGCUUUAGUUAUCCUCAUUUUACAGGUAUGGAAAAUAAGGCACUGAGAUGUUCACAGAUCUCCCUGAAACUCUUAAUUGUGUUUGUGCAAACCAUUUCAUUUUGAAAAAGAUUUAUUUAUUUGAAAGAGUUACACAGAGAGAGAAGGAGAGGCAGAGAGACAGAGAGGUCUUCCAUCUGUUGGUUCACUUCCCAAUUGGCUGCAAUGGCUGGAACUGUGCCAAUCUGAAGCCAGGAGCCAGGAGCCUCCUCUGGGUCUUUCCAUGUGGGUGCAGGGGUCCAAGGACUUGGGCCAUCUUCUGCUGCUUUCCCAGGCCAUAGCAGAGAGCUGGAUCGAAAGUGGAGCAGCCAGGAUUCGAACUGGCACCUGUAUGGGAUGCCGGCACUGAAGGUGGCAGCUUUACCUGCUGUGCCACAGCGCCGGCCCCAAACCAUUUCAUUUUGAUUUGUAUCUUUUAUCAGAACCCUUUGAGAAAGACUCAUCAGCUGUUCUCUCCAUCUCAUAGGAAAAGAGAGGGAAUAUGUGAUAAGCUGAUGGGGUUCACAGUGAGCUUCGUUUGGACUGAAAAUUUUGAGGUAGCUCUUCUAUGCCUUUUCACGACUUCAAGCAGGGCAUUUUACUCUAAGGCCUCAAGAUCUAUAACACAUGCCAAGGUCUUACACAGUGUUAGAGUUUGGAAGAAACAUCAUCUGUAAACUAUGAAAUUCUUGUGUGAUUUAGACUCAGACCGCUCUGGCAGUCCUGGGCUCACUAUUUACUACCUUGCCUAACUUUUCUGAGCAUGUUUGAUUGUUUGUAAUAUGAAGCUAUACUUCUGCCUCUCCUCAGAGUUGAUUUUGAAGAUAAUACUUCUAAAUUAUCUAAAUUUUUAACCAUAUGUAGAUGAGAUUCUUACUAAUUGGUUCAGACCAGAGGGCACUUAGGAAAGUUUCAGGCCUCAGCUGGAACUCCAGCCUCUUAGCUCCCUGGGCCCUGGGUCUUUCCAGCUAGUUACUGUAUUGUUGAGGAUUAGGAAGAUAUCAUCAUAAUGAGAUGUGCCCCAUUUCUCCUUAGAAACUAUAGUCCUGAUUCUUUCUCCAGACUCACCAGGUUAUCAUUUGACCCAGUAAGUAUAGGGGAUUCAGUAACGAAUUGGGCAUUUUCAUGAAGUAAAUUGCUAAAAUACUUGCAAACAGCAGGCUGUGAUAAACAUGAGGGCAGGGGAUCUGGCUAUGGUGUUGGCUUUGUAUCGCGCAGGGUUCUGGGAUACCUGCCACGUAGUUGUGUGGAGGAUGACAGGAACGAGCAUUAGGAAAUAGAAAUGAGAAGGGGAACAAAGUAUUUUAAAUUUUGGUAUUGUAGGAAAGAGGAAGUUGUAGGUGGGUUAAGCCCAUCAGGUUUUACAAAUUAGGCAUUAUUUAUUUUAAAUUUUUUAUUUAUUUAAAUGGCAACAGAAGGGGAGAAAGAGAGAGAGAGAGAGGGCGUGCGCAUGAGAAUGAAUCAUUACAGCACCCUAGGGUGCACAUCAGCAGGAAGCUAGAAUUGGGAGCUGAGCUGGACUCAUACCCAGGCACUCCCGAAUGGGAUAUGGGUAUCGCAAGUGGCAUCCCAAGUGCUGCAAAUGCAUGCCUCAGAUUGAGCAUAAUUUAGAGGCUUGAAAGCAUUGUAUGCCAACACAUUCUGCUAAGAGCAUGUUUUUAUCAUGAGGCAAAAUUUUAUCCAAGUCAGAAACUUCUUUUAAAUUACAGUAUAUUCAUUCCUGUUUUGUGAUUUGGGUCUGUGGAGUCAGAACUUGUCAGGAAGGUUAGUUAGGUGAAGCUGUGCAGCCGACAGUGUGGACAUCUCACAGGCAGCCGUGCUAAAAAUCUUGCUGUAAACUGGCCACAAGUAAACGCCUGCUUGUGAAUCAGUGUGACCUUUAGCAAAAACAAAAGAAGCAAACCACUAACACAUGAAUCAGAUUUUCUUAGUAUGAGGAUUGUAAACUCUGGUACUUAACAAUUUGUCAGACCCAAUUGGAGCAGUUGAGACAACUUCCUUUCCCUGUUUUCAUUUGCCCUACGCACAGAUGUGUAUAUCCAUUUUUAACAACACAUUAGGGAAAUUUGAUAUUUUUUUCCCCAUUGAGCUGAGCUAUAUGGGUGUUUCUCUAAUCAUCAUGGAACUUUAUAAAAAUCGGAGAUUACUGGGUGCCACUCAAGACCUACUGAAUCUGAAACUCUCCGAGUAUGGGACCCAGAAAUCUAUUCUGAAGAACAUCUCAAGCAAUUCUAUGAUUAAUUAGAUUUGGAAACCACUGAAAUAGAGAAUGACAAAACUGUGUUUUUUAAUCCAUUUGUCCAUGUACAUGUAUCUUGAUUGGGUCAGAAUUCACACAUAGGGUGAUGUUCAUCUUAAAAGCUGGAUGUAAGGGUGGGCUUUACCUAGCAAUUCUAAUAGUGGUUAAGAUGCUGGAAACCCAUUAUCAGAGUGCCUGAAUUCUGUAGUUGGCUCUGGCUUCUAAUUUCAGCUUUCUGCUAAUACAGUCCUUGGGAGGCAGCAGCAAGGGCUCCAAUAGUUGUAUUCCUGUCACCUAUGUAGGUGACCUGGAUUAAGUUCUUGGCUCCUGGCUUUAGCAACUCUGCUCCAGCAGCUGUGGGCAUUUGGGGAACAAACCUGUAGAUAGGAACGUGUUCUCUCAAAUACAAAGAAACAUUUUUAAAAAGCAAAAGAAAAAAAAAACUUGGGCAUUGAAACUGGAAUUAGAACCUAAUCCCAGCCCUGUGUGUUUCCUGUGCUAGCUUAACAGUUUUUAGCUUGGGGUUGAGCUUUAAAGAGUUCACAAAUUUCAGAAGUCAUAGGCAGAAGAUUUUUGUGUACACACCUUGUUCUUGCUUUCAUCAGAUUUCUCUGAGGGGUCAGUGACCCAUAAAAGGUUAAGAACCAAAGCCUCAAGCUUUCACAGCUGUUCUGGGAGCAGUGGAAGAGGGCAGUGUCUCUGUUGCCACUUACAAUGUAUUUGACCUUUUGAGAGGCAAUAACAGUUUGAGACUUGCACCUGUUUUCUGCGCUGCUUAAAAUAUUUAAAAAGAAAAAAAAAUAAUGUAACACUUGGGUCAUGACCAAAACAAGGCCAAGGGAUAUAGAAAAUAUUUGGUGAACUGUAUAAAAUUAGUGUUAAGGAGCUGCUGACAGUGAAAUAGCCCCGUGGUCAGCCUGGUGGAGGAACUUGUUAAAUAGAACAGCAUAGGCAAGGUUCACUCCAGUGUUCUUACAGCGUAUAAUUAGCCAAAUUAUGGAUGACAGUAUUCACACCAUGGAUAUACAGGAAUACUAAUUGUCUUAUUUUUUGUUGCAUUCUAGCCCCAGCAUGUCCACUGAAUUGCUUAAUUCCAAAAUAACUUUAGCAGCUGUACGGCUGAUAUGUUGCUUCUUAUCUCCUAAAAUCUCUGAAUAACACCGUUAACCACGAAACAGAAUUGGAUAUUAGGGAAGUCUGUCUUUAACUGCUACAGAAAGUUUUAUUUGCAAAAUACUAGAAUCUUAUAUAUAUGGUAUUUUUAUCCCUAAGGAUAACUAAGUGAAUCUCAGCACAAGUCCUUCCCUCCUGAUACAUAUUCUUUCUCCUCUCUGAUACACCCAGUGAAUUCACGUUUAUUUGGGGAAAAGCAAUUUUCAAUUAUUGUUGGUCUGGUAUUGCCGUGUUUUAGGAUUGGGUUGGUUUUAAAGAAGAAGGAAGUCAAUGAAAUUAAAUGUUAUUAAUGGGUAAAAUUCUUUUGCCAUUUAUUUGAAUAUAUUUCCUUUUUGUAAUGUCUUUUUAGGUUGGUUAAAUGUUUUAUCACUUAUUUUGAACUUUUACAUAAGUGUGUUACUCAUUAUCUUUAAAGUGUGUAUUUUAUCUGCCCAAGUUGAUUGCAGCUUGCUAGACUGUGAUUAUGUGUUCCUGUGGACACUCAGUAAAUAUUUGAUUAAUUGGAUUUGUUGAUUGGUCUUGUCUUUGAUUCCUGAGAGUCUAGAAGAUGGAAUUUAUCUGGAAUUAAAACUUGAUACAUACUUAGAAAAGUAAAAAUGUGAAAAUGGGUUAUCAGAUCUUUCCUUAGGCAGGCAUUUUUUUUCUUUAUUUUCUUAUGUGCUUGUAUUUUCUAGUUCUUUAAAAGCUUAAGUAUUUGAAAUUCCAUAGUUACAAAAAUAAUUUUAUGGUAGAGUGACAUUUUAUUUUUGAGAGGCUUUUUACUUACUGCUUUUUAAAAAUUAUUUUUUAUUGUGUAUCCUUGGAGUAGCAUAUGUCGUCUCACAUAGGCAUCCUCUGUGUGUGUGUGUGUGUGUGUGUGUGUUUGCAGUUAGAAUCUACGCAUUCAGCUUGAAUGCCUAGGUCAGGGUUAUCACCUGUAACUCUCAUGUUGUAGCUAUUAGAUUUCUAGACUUGUUAAUCCUACUUACCUGCUGCUGUGAGUUACACCUUCCCAUUUCCUCCCUGUUCCUUCAUACCCUUGCCCCAGUAGCCACUGUUUUGCUCUUUGUAUAUACUGUAUGUGAGAUGAUGUGAUGUUUUACUUGCUGUGUUUGGCUCACUUCACUUAUAAUAUUAUCUAUUCUCAUCUUGUUCUUUUAGGGAUGAAUAAUAUUUGAUUAUAUAUUAGGAGUUCCAAGAAUUUCAUAGAAAAUGCACAUUAUGACAAAAUUAUGUCGGGACCCAACCAAAUAAAACUUAUCUUUUAAUUCCAUUUCCACCAAUUUAUUGACAUAUCCUCAUGUAUUUGCUGCAGUUUCUCUAUCCAUUUAUUUGUUCAUGGACACUUAGAUUGUUUGUAUGUCUUGACUCAACAUUGUGCACAAUGCUGUAAUGAACGUGGAUGCUUAGUUAUCUCUAUGAGGUGGCAAUUUCUUUCCUUUGGGUAUAUAUCCAGAAAAAAGAUUGUUGGAUACUUAUAGUCAUUCUAUGAAUGUUUUCAUUUUCUUUGGAGACCUCCAUACAGUUUUCUACUAUGGCUAUACCAAUGUACAUUUCCGUCAACAAUGUAGAAGAGUUCUCUUUUUUCUCAGUCUUGCCAAUUUGAUUUUUUAAAUAAGGUUUUAAACACUCCGAAGAGAAACCAGAGUAUGAAUUUGUUUUUUUUUGAUAAGUAAUCCUAACUGGUGGGAGAUUUUCUCUCAUGAUGUUUCAGGUUUCAUUUCCCUGAUGAUUAAAGAUGUUGAGCACCUUUUCAUAAACCUGUUGCUGAUUUUCAUGUCUUUGGAGAAAUUUUUUUUCAGAUCUUGUGUCCAUUUUUAAAACUGGGUUGUUUUUCUACUGUUGAGUUGUAUGAGUUUUUUGUGAUUUUGGACAUAUUAACCGUAUAUAUGUAUAUAAACAUAUAUAUAUGUAUGUAUUGUUUGCAAUUUUUUUUCCCAAUCCAUUGGCUGCUGUUUUUCAUUUUACUGUUUCAUUUGCUGUACUGAUAAAAGUUACUAUUGUGCACAAGAUUUUUAGCUCAAUAUACUCUCAUUUGUUAUUUUUAUUUUUGUUGCCUGAGCUUCAUAGCCAAGGCCAACAUCCAGGAGCUUUUCCCUUGUCUUCUAGGAGUUUAUUGUUUUUGGAUAGUUACUGCUUUUAAAAAGGAAGGAGAUUUCACCAUAGACUUGAUUACAUGAGAGGGAUUCAUCUGCUUAACAGGUGGGUGUUGCCCUCCAUAGGUCCCAGUCAAGUACAGUCCUAACAGCUGAAGUUGGGUAAGGGGACAUUGGAGGCUUUCAGUGUGCUGGUGACUGUCAGUGGUUAUCUCGAGAAUCGACUUGUAAGCUUGAGAGAGAGGGAUCCAGACUGUGAAGGGAUUUGUCACUAACCUCUCUGUGUGAGAAGUGGACUUGGGAAUGCUUAGCUUCUGGAAGAGGUGGUUCAGGGUCAUUUGUGGCUGUCUUAAAGUGUUUAGAAUUGAUUUCAGGAAGAGAGAUUUAGUUCCCCAUGGUCACCACUACUCCCUUUGAAGACAAUUUGGCAUUCUCUGUAAGAAGGAUUGUUUUCUAAUAGUGCUUUGCUGUCUGAGGGUCUUGAAUUCAGUUGCUGAAGGUGUUCAGACAGGCCCACUUAUGGCUGUUUUGGAUUAUUGUAAUGGAGCUUAACAUUGAGUAUUAGUGACCUUUGGGAUUUAUCCCAAAGAGACUAUGAUUAUAUGAUUUGCAGGGCAAAGUUUUCUGAGUUAAUGUAGUCAUGCUUCAAAGUCUAGAUCUGCUUGCAAUUUUUUUUUUAAAGAAGUCAGUUUGGGUGCUGUUUACUUAGUACUUAGUUCCGUGUUCUCCAUGUGUGUUGAACUGGAACAAGCUAAUCUUACCAGUCCUCCUGGUCUCUUCUCAUGGUUUGAGCUCUUUAAGUUAAGGUAAUUAAAAAAAAAAAAGCACUUUGGCAUUUUCCCUAUUGUAGUUUGCCCCUGUGUGUUUGCUAAUCAAAACGGGUAUAGAGUUCAGUCAUUUGGGAUAUAUAAGUUUACAUUUCAAGUCACUUAAGUGAUAUCCUUAAGGAAGAUACUCAUUGUUUGCUUACUCUUGGACUCCACCACCUCUCCAACAAACAGCAAACAAAAACUGCCUGUCUGUUUAAAGGAUCUGGAAAAGGUGUUUUGUGAUGUCUGAAAAUGUGUCUGAGAGUAAUGAUAUGGUCUCCAGUUAGUUAGACCUAGACUGGUAAUGUUUCAUUACAGUAAGUGGAUAUUUCGUAAACAGAGGAUCUGGGAGGGAAAGCAGCGGUGGGGUGUGUAUAUGGGGUGGAUUUUACUAGGAAAGCUGAAAUGAAUUCUGCAGUCCUGCAGUACCAGAGGGUACCAUGGAUUCAUGUUCCAGGCUCUAAUUCAGCAUCUUGUCUCUCAGACACUUGGCACUGAUUCGUUCAUCUCAGAACUGAAGUCUUAAGGAUUAAGCCGAGAGAGAAUGGAAAUGCAUCAUUUUCUCUGCCAGAGGAGGUACUUAAACUGGGAAAGGAGGAGGGGAUGUUAACAAAUCAAGCCUUGGCAGGGAAAUCUGUCAUGAAUCAGCAGUGAAUUGGAAAGCCUCUGUCGCUGUAAUUUACAAAACCAAACAUUUGCUGCUGCUGACAUUUCUCUCUUGCUUACCUUUAGGAUCAGCUUCAGGUCACACUGUGGAGGGAAUGAAUCUCUUCUUUUGGUCCAUUUUGACAGCAUUAGGUAAUUAAUUUACAACUAGCUCAAUUAGACUCCAGCCCAUACAGUGUGUGCGUGGCCUUUUAAAGAGCCUUUGUUUUGACGCUAAUUGAACUGGUUGUAGCAGAGACAGCCAAACAAUUUACAUUUAUCUUUGGCAGGACACAGGGCUGUUCUGUGGUAUGGACAGUCCCAUUUUCUGUUCCUUACCAAGUCUGGCACUGAAAUGCUGUGUGCUUAUUUUAGUUUUUUUUUUUUUUUUAACUUAAAAAGACUCUGAAAAUGACAAAACCGCAUAGGUCUGUUGUAAACAAAUUGGAAGAUAUAGAUAAGGUGGAAAGAAAAUGUAAUGGAAAACCAUUUAUUACCAGAUAUUUGUCUUUCUGUACUUUUUCCCCAUCUGAAGGAAUGCAUCUGUAUAUAUGUGUUUUCCUUGUUCUGUUUUUACAGAACAGGUCUUGUACCAUGUAAACUAUUUUUUAAUCUGGUUUUCCUAUCUAAUAAGUUGGAAACACCAUGUUACUUCCUAAAAUAUUGUUGUUCUGAAAUAUUUAAAAUAUCUGUCGUAUGUAUGUACCAAAACAUAUUUAACCAAUUAUUAUUUUUAUAUACUUGAGCUCUUUCCAGGUUUUUGAUAUUAUAACAUUGUGAUAUAUACUUGUAUUUAAAAAUUAUUUUUUAUUUUUUGAAUGUGUAACAAUUUUUUUUUGUAAAUACUUUAGGGAUAUAGUGAUUCUUCAUACUGUACCCACCCUCCCACCCACACUCCCACCCUUCCCUCUCCUAUUCCCAUUUUUAAUUUUUAAUAAGAUCUAUUUUCAAUUAACUUUAUACACAUAUGAUUAACUCGACACUAAGAGUUCCACAAAUUGUGUGAAAAAAAGAAAAAAACCUGUUCUUCAACAGUCGAAACAAAGGGCUGUUCAAAGUCAUUGCAUCUCGAAGUGUUAAUUAUUUUAGGGGCUGGUGCUGUGGCGCAGCAGGUUAAAGUCCCUGGCCUGCAGGGCCGGCAUCCCAUAGUGCUGUGGUUCGAGUCCCAGCUGCUCCACUUCCGAUCCAGCUCCUUGCUGCUGCUUCCGGGAGGGCAGCAGAGGAUGGUCCAAGUCCUUGGGCCCCUGUACCCAUGUGGGAGACCCAGAGGAAGUUCCUAGCUCCUGGCUUAGGAUUGGCUAAGCUCUGGCCAUUGUGGCUAGUUGGGAAGUGAACCAGCAGAGGGAAGACCUUCCUUUCUCUGUCUCUAUCUCUCUCUGUAAUUCUUUCAAAUAAAUAAAUCUUUUAAAAAAUAUUUUAGAUGCAGAAAGAGAACUCCUAUUUUUCUUCCAGAUCCUCACUCAAUGGCCAGGGCUGGGCUGGGGCUGAAAUUGGGAAUUGGAACUGCAAUACAGCCUCAAUUACUGGAGCCAUCACUGCUGCCUCCCAGGGUUUGUAUAAGGCAGGAAGCUGGAGUCAGGAGCCAGGGCCAGGAGUCAAACCUAGUUAAUUCUGAUGUGAGAAUCAGGCAUAUUAACCACUAAAUCUUUGAGAACUUCAUUAAGCAGUUGGAACAGAAAAAUUCCUAGACACUGAAUUAUUUGCAUGAGGAAUUGUGUUUUUAAUUUUUUUGAUGCAUACUGCCAAAUUGCACCAAUUUUCACAUUUUGUGGCAGCAUGUGAAAGCUUUGCAUUUAUUUUUAGUAUUCACGAGUGCAGGAUGGAGAGUACUGACUCAGAGAUGGGUUCAUUCUUGAUCAGUGAUUUUGCUGUUGCCUUCAAAAUUUUACUCAGAUUUGAAAAUCUCAGAUCAAAGAAGCCAGCUAACAUCGUGUAGUACAGUAUAGCUUUGCUCAUUUUUUAAAAAAUUGUAAGUCAUCAGUUCUUUUUUAAAAAAAAUUAUUUAUUAUUUGAAAGGCAGAGUGACAAAGGGAGACAUGCACAGAGAGAUACUGUCCAUCUGCUGAUUGACUGCACAAAUGCACAGUUCAGACAGGGAUAGGGUAGGCUAGGCCAAAGGCAGGAGCCAGAGACUCCAUCCAGGUCUCCCACCUGGCUGGCAGGAACACAAGUACUUUGGCCACCAUCUGCUGGCUCCCAGGCACAUUAGCAAGAAGCUGGAAUGGAAGUAUGGAGUAGCCUGGUCUCUAAUCAGGCACUGGAGUAUGGGAUGUAGGCAUCUAAUCCACUGUGCCACAAUACCUGCCCCAGUUUGGCUUACUUUUAAUGAUGAUAUAUUGUUUUAGGAAGCUGGAGAAUAAAAAUAUCUCUUGUUCUAUAGAAAAGAAGUAUUUGUUUCUGUAAGACAAAAGUUGCAUUUUUGUGAUUUGUAAAUACUGUUUUUCAUAUGAGUAAGGACCAACCUGAAGAAAUAGUGUGAAAUCUAAGCAAGAAUUGGAUAAUUUUGCCCAGUGUGUAUACGAAACUUUUUCCACCUUCUGGAGGCCAGCAAAAUCUAUAGCUAGAGGAGCAAGAUAAAUUCUGGUGUCUUCAUCUAGUUAGCCUUAGAAAAGCUAUUAUAAACCCCUUGUUUAAAUUUCUGUUAGAGUACCUACUGCAUUGUUCUAUAGUUCUCUUUACUUGUCUAAACUACUUGGCUAGAAAUUUCAAGAGUUGGUGUUUAAUCUUAGUGUCUAUAUUUGCAGUGUCUGAAUUUUGGAUAUACAUUCCUACAGAUGGCAGGUCCUCAUUGUUGACUGAAUGAGUAUAUAAGCAGGAACAUGAGAUUAGAGAGGAAUGGUCUUUCGGGUCAACUAGGAUACUGCACAUACCCCUCUUCACACUCCUUCAUGGCUUAAGAAAUCUUAAGUUCAGAAAUAUUAAGGGACUUGUUGCUCAAGAAAAAGUUAAUGAUCCCAGCAGAAGUUGGAGUUCUCUUUUAUCAUUGCAUUUCCCAUAUUUUUGUAGUACUAGGAUUGUUUUUCCCCGGAUGGUACUUUGUAUGAUUAUAUUUAAAAUCAGUAGUAAAAUAUGCAUUUCAAAUAUAGCACAAUUUCCUUAACUCUUCUUUUUCUUCUCUGCUUGGAAAUAACCUGAGAUUUUUUGUUAAAAUUUAACACACACACUCUUAAAUCACAUUUCUUUUUUCCGUUCUUUGUUUUUAUAUUUUCACCUAUCCAAUUUCAUUCUCGAUGGAGGUUUUCAUUUACUCCAAGCAGUUUGCCGUCUGUAUGUCAAAAUGCAUUGAAUUGGCCUCUUAUCCAGAAAGCCCACGUAAAGAUCUCUUUUUCCCAGGAAACAAGGAAAUGAGGCCGGAGUCAGGCAGGUGGAGCAAAGGCUUCUCCAAAGGCCCAGUGCUGCCCGUCUGCUACCCUGUCGUGAUUCACACUUCUUGCCGGUGCAGACCCUGGGAGACAGCAGUGAUGGCUGAGGUAGUUGGGUUCCUGCCACAGACCUGAAAGACCUAGGUGACAUUCCUUGCUCCUGGCUUGGGAUCCCAGCCACUGGGGAUGUUUGGGGAGUGAAUUGCCAGAUAGGGGUGUGUUCCUCCCUUCUCCCCUUACCAGUGUAUAAGUAUGUGUGUCUCUGCACAUUUCAAAUUAAAAAAAAUUAAUUUAAAUAAAAUAAUUUGAGGUCUUACAGGCUUUCCUAACAUCUAGUCCAGUCUUUUGUUUGAUGCAAAGGCAAAGAAUCUUUCAGCAAAGUUAGAGAAAGAGAUGUGGAUAGAACCUAGGAUUCGAUGCCCACUUUGUAUUUCUUUUCAUUUCCUGGUCAUAGUUGCAACAUUUAGUUUAAUCUUUCUUUAAAAAGAGCAUAAUACUUGAUGUUUUGUUGGCUUGAAAUCUGAUAUUGUGCCCAAGGGCAACUAAAAGCUUCCCUCUUGUUCACUUUUUCUGGUUGCAUGGAUCCUUCUAUGCUUCUCUGAGGGUGUGUUUGUGUAUGACUGAAAUGAAAGCUGUAUUGUGACAGUGCUUAGAGAAUUGCCUCUGAUGACACAACUUUGUGCCUGUUUAAGAAAGCAGUGAAAAGGCAGUAAAGGGACUGUUAUUUCUUAAGACCACUGACUACAGUGGGAGAAGCCCUGGGUGGCAGGUGGUCAUAUUUUGCAGCUAUCUUGUUUUGUCCAUGUUGUGUAGCCUUCGAUCUGGGAGUUUUUGAUUCUUAUUUUGACCUAGAUUUCUGGAAUGCCCUAUAUAAUCUUGUAUAAUCUUGGUCAAAUACUUAACCUCCUGCUUUCUUAGGAAAUUCAAGGCAGGUUAAGCAGAUAUUUGUAAGGUACCUUCCCGGCUUUGAAUCAUUAUUUUCAUAAAAGUUUUUUCACAUGAUCAAAUAACCAAAUAUGGAUUUCUGACAGUGCAUUUUAUUACUGUUUUGAUAAUUUUCAUGGAAAUUUGGAAUGUGUCUACAGUCCUUUCACUUUGAUCAGGUUGUUAGCUGUUAUUUAUAGAGCACCCACCAGGUGCUCAGAGAUUUAAAAAAACGGUGCCCAGCCUCAAGGAGAAAGACUUCUUUAUCUGCUACACUGGGGAUGGAGGGUAUUCUCCUCUUCCUUAAGCUUUCAGUGCAGGGGCUUUCUUAACCAGUGCAUUGUUCAGUAGAUACUGGUUGCGUGAGUGAAAGAAUAAAUUCAGCUGUCAGUCUUGCUUAUAUUUAUGGAAGAUGUACACUGAGAGUUAUUGUUUUCUUCAGCCUACAGAUGUUGUUAAUUUGACUGUAUUUUCCGGAAAAUAGUAGGGCCAUGAUGAUCUGAGGCUUUUGGAAGAAAGCAUAAACACAAAGUACUUGAGAAAGUUUUUGGUGCAAAUUUUUUGAAAUCUGCAUGUGUUUUUUGUGCACAUUUUCCAUGACUUUUUUUUUUCAUUUUUAUUUAAUGAAUGCAUUUUUACAUAGAUACAACUUUAGGAAUAUAGUGGUUCUUUGCCACAUAAACCCCCCAACCCCACUCCCAUCCCAUCUCCCAUUCCCUCUCCCAACUUCUUCAUUAUGGAUCAUUUUUAGUAUGACUUUAUAUACAGAAGACCAACUCUAUGCUAGUCAUAGUCUUCAACAAUUUGCCCCCACUCCCACACAGAACAUAUAGAGUACAUUUUGGGGGAAGAAUUUGCAGUCUAUUCUCAUAUUACAAUUUAACAGGGAUAGAGGUUCUACCUGGGGAGCAAGUGCACAGUGACUACUGUUGUUCCUUUAACAAUUAACACUCUUUUUUUAUGACGUCAGUGAUCAUCUGAGGUUCCAUGACUUUUUGAAGUAUGCUCAAGUUACAUUCCUUUCUUAGAAGUGUUCUUUAAUAUUAGCAUAUUAAAAGCACUGGGGUAUCUGCUUUAAAAUACCUUAGUUCAACUCAGUAGUUCCACAAUGUAUUUGACCUCAAAAAUCCUGUCUACUCUUCUUCUGUAGGCAGUAAUUGUAGUGUCCUUUAGAGCUUUGACCUACAAGAUAAAAAGUUUGGUAUAGAGAAUCUCACUACAGAAUAAAUAGAAGCAACACUAGUUAAAAAAAAAAAGUGAUUUAACAUUGACAAAGCAUGUAUGUUAAGCACUGUUUCUGGAAGCCCUGUAUAAAAUUAUGGUAGACCUGUACGAUAUAUUUUUAGUGACUGUGUCUCAUUACAGGUUUAGGGUUAGGUGGAAGAGAGAUUAAAGAAGUUGUAAGUGACCUGACAGCUACUUUACAUUUAUGGAAAUUGAAUGGUGGUGUUCUAACUUGUAUCAGGGGCUGCCCUGUUAGGUUUGGCAGGGGAAUAAUGUGUCUGCUCCUUGAGGAGCCCAGUGGAGGAGACAGACAGACAUGUAAACAGAUUACAGCAGUAAAGACUCAAAAGCGUAAAGAUCAGAAAUAGAACACAGGGAGGAAUAGUAUUUUUUCUCCAAUUUAGAGCAGGAUUGCUGUUCAUACAGUGAGGCCAAACCAAAUCAACGGUGAUCCCUCUAAAACCUUCAGACAAAAUUCUACUCCUUUAUCAUGACUCAAGUCUUUCUGUGAUCCAGAAGUAAUUGCCCUUGGAACCUUGCUUAGCCUCCUCAGUCUGCUUUAUCCUUGGACUGCUUGAGGGCAGGGCAGGGUUGUUUUUGUCUCAGCAUCCACAGGGCCUGCAGGUACAGCAUGCAGAAUACCCACACUUCCUUGGGAAGGUAGUGAUAUUAUUAGCAUUUUCUCCUCUAAAAUUUAAGUUUGACUAUUUCAGUUACUUUUUUUUUAAGUAGUCAACAAUUCUGCAUCAUGAAUUAUUCUUUCACAUGAACCUACAGAAGUCAUUAGUUUUUUAUGGACUUUUCUCUUAUUUACUGUUUUUUUUUUUUUUUUCCUGGACUACCAUAACCACAAGUUUAGUUUGGUAUUCUGUAGCACAAUCAGGGCUCAGGAUGUGGACUGAUGGCAUUUCCCUUUAAAGUAUCUGUAUCUAUUUGCCAUAAACGGGGCAAAUUGACUGCUAUCUACUGUAGUGCAGGAAGUCACUAAACUGAAAGUCAGCCUGACUUGCUUUGGCUAACUUUCUUUGUGACCUUGGGCAAGUCACUUAACCUUCCUUUAACUGAGGAGCUGAACCAGAAUUAGCACAGUCUGUUCUACUGCUGACAGUCGGUGAUUCUCUGGGUGAUUCUCAGGGGAAGAUUCACUUCCAAGGAGAAAGUUUAAAAGUGGAUACAUUUUUAGGUUAAAUGGCUUUGUUCAUUUAGUUUUUUCUCCUUAGCUCAUUUUGGAGCAGUAAGACUGCUUGUCAUGGAUUAAAACCAAAUUGCUUGAAACUCUCUAAAGACUGCAUUUUUUAUCCUACUUUUUAUUUUCAUGGGAAGGAAAAAAGUGACAAUAAAACAAGCUUGUCUAUAUCCAUGAAUCAGGAAAAAUCCAUUUAUUUUCAACAUGCACAGUGUAGAUAAACAUAUUCAUUGAGUUUGGUUUACCACCUUUUAAAAAAUUUAUUUAACAGUUUAUUUUUCAUUUUGUCUGAAACACAGCCACAGAGACACCAGGAUUGAUCUUCUAACCACUGAUCCACUCCCCAAAUGCUAGCAACAGCCAAGGCUGGGCCAGGUUGAAGUCCAGAACUCCCAUCUAGGUCUCCCAUGUAGGUAGAAGGGACCAAAGUACUUGAACUAUCACCUGCUGCCUUCCAGUGUGCGCAUUAGCAAUAAGCUGGAUUGAAAGUGGAGUAGCUGGAGCUCUAACCAGAUAUUCCAGUGUGGGAUGUUGGCAUCCCAAGUGUUGUCAGAACCACUGCGUUGCAACUUAUACACUGGUUUACCGACUUAAAUGUAGGAAGAAUUAUACUAGAUACACUUUAAAUAUUUUCAUCAAGAGUUGAAACAAGGUGGGGAGUGGGCAUUGUAAUACAGCGGGUUCAUCUUGGAAUGCUAUCAUCCCUCAUCAGAAUGCCCAUUGGAGUUCCAGCUACUUCAUUUCUUAUCCAGCUUCCUGCUAAUUCAUCUGGGAGACAGUAUAUGAUGGGGUCAAGUGCUUGAGCCCCUGUUACCCACAUGGGAGACCCAGAUGGAAUUCCAGGCUCCUGGCAUUGGCCUGGCUGAGCCCUGGCUGUUGUGGGCAUUUGAGGAGUGAAUCUAUGGUUAGAUACUCUCUCUCUCUCUCUCUCUCUCUCUCACUCUCUCACUUUCUCACUCUCUCACUCUCUCUCUC